GACAGAGGGUGCAAACGUUGUUCGGAAUUACUGGGCGUAAAGAGCUCGUAGGCGGCCGGUUGCGUCUGCUGUGAAAUCCCGGGGCUUAACCCCGGGCGUGCAGUGGAUACGGGCUGGCUGGAGGCAGGCAGGGGAGAAUGGAAUUCCCGGUGUAGCGGUGAAAUGCGCAGAUAUCAGGAGGAACACCGGUGGCGAAGGCGGGUCUCUGGGCCGAUACUGACGCUGAGGAGCGAAAGCGUGGGGAGCGAACAGG
rnacentral:rRNA from 1 species